AUUGAACGCUGGCGGCAUGCUUUACACAUGCAAGUCGAACGGCAGCGCGGGCUUCGGCCUGGCGGCGAGUGGCGCACGGGUGUGUAAUACAUCGGAACGUGCCCAGUAGUGGGGGAUAGCUCGGCGAAAGCCGGAUUAAUACCGCAUACGACCUGAGGGUGAAAGCGGGGGAUCUUCGGACCUCGCGCUAUCGGAGCGGCCGAUGGCAGAUUAGCUAGUUGGUGGGGGCAAGGCCUACUAAGGCGACAAUCUGUAGCUGGUCUGAGAGGACGACCGGCCACACUGGGACUGAGACACGGCCCAGACUCCUACGGGAGGCAGCAGUGGGGAAUUUUGGACAAUGGGCGAAAGCCUUAUCCAGCAAUGCCGCGUGUGUGAUGAAGGCCUUCGGGUUGUAAAGCAGUUUUGGCGGGAACGAAAAGGACUGUGCCAAUACCACGGUUCGAUGACGGUACCCGCAGAAUAAGCACCGGCUAACUACGUG
rnacentral:rRNA from 1 species